UACGUAGGGUGCAAGCGUUGUCCGGAAUUAUUGGGCGUAAAGAGCUCGUAGGCGGUCUGUCGCGUCGGAUGUGAAAAUCCAGGGCUCAACCCUGGACCUGCAUUCGAUACGGGCAGACUAGAGUUCGGCAGGGGGAGACUGGAAUUCCUGGUGUAGCGGUGAAAUGCGCAGAUAUCAGGAAGAACACCAAUGGCGAAGGCAGCUCUCUGGGGACGGUACUGACGCUGAGACGCGAAAGCGUGGGGAGCGAACAGG
rnacentral:rRNA from 1 species